rnacentral:rRNA from 1 species
GACGAACGCUGGCGGCGUGCCUAAUACAUGCAAGUCGAGCGCAGGAAACUGACGGAACUCUUCGGAGGGAAGGCAGUGGAAUGAGCGGCGGACGGGUGAGUAACACGUAAGGAACCUGCCUCAAGGAUUGGGAUAACUCCGAGAAAUCGGAGCUAAUACCGGAUAGUUCAUCGGACCGCAUGGUCCGUUGAUGAAAGGCGCUUCGGCGUCACCUUGAGUUGGCCUUGCGGUGCAGUAGGUAGUUGGUGGGGUAACGGCCCACCAAGGCGACGAUGCAUAGCCGACCUGAGAGGGUGAUCGGCCACACUGGGACUGAGACACGGCCCAGACUCCUACGGGAGGCAGCAGUAGGGAAACUUCCACAAUGGACGAAAGUCUGAUGGAGCAACGCCGCGUGAGUGAUGAAGGUUUUCGGAUCGUAAAACUCUGUUGUAAGGGAAGAACACGUACGAGAGGGAAUGCUCGUACCUUGACGGUACCUUACGAGAAAGCCACGGCUAACUACGUGCCAGCCGCCGCGGUAAGAC